ACAGGAGCCCAGCCUCUGAGCCAUGCCGCGCCCCGGGCGGCCUGCAGCAAGCCCGACCCCGGCACCCACAUAGUCAUGAACAGCCACAGCCACAGCGGCUGCGGGGGGCGGCCACCGGGCAGUGGGCUGGGUGCCCUGGGCCGAGACCCUCUGGACCCCGAGGCCGGCCGCCCCCCGCAGCCCCCGCAUGGCCCGGGCCUCCAGGUGGUGGUGGCCAAGAGCGAGCCGGCCCGGCCCUCUCCCGGCAGCCCCCGGGGGCAGCCCCAGGAGCAGGAGGAGGAGGAAGACGAGGAAGAGGAUGAGGCGGGCCGGCGCAGGGGCUCGGGGAAGCCUGUGAGUGUGGGCCACCGCCUGGGCCACCGGCGGGUGCUCUUUGAGAAGCGGAAGCGCCUCAGCGACUACGCCCUCAUCUUCGGCAUGUUCGGUAUUGUCGUCAUGGUGACCGAGACGGAAUUGUCUUGGGGCGUCUACACCAAGGAGUCCCUGUGCUCGUUUGCUCUCAAAUGCCUCAUCAGCCUCUCCACGGUCAUCCUGCUGGGCCUGGUCGUCCUCUACCACGCCCGGGAGAUCCAGCUGUUCAUGGUGGACAACGGGGCGGACGACUGGCGCAUCGCCAUGACGUGUGAGCGCGUCCUCCUCAUCUCGCUGGAGCUGGCUGUGUGCGCCAUCCACCCGGUGCCCGGCCACUACCGCUUCACGUGGACCACGCGCCUGGCCUUCACGUACGCGCCGUCGGCGGCCGAGGCCGACGUGGACGUGCUGCUGUCCGUGCCCAUGUUCCUGCGCCUCUACCUGCUGGGCCGCGUCAUGCUGCUGCACAGCAAGAUCUUCACAGACGCCUCCAGCCGCAGCAUCGGCGCCCUCAACAAGAUCACCUUCAACACGCGCUUUGUCAUGAAGACGCUCAUGACCAUCUGCCCGGGCACCGUGCUGCUCGUCUUCAGCAUCUCCUCCUGGAUCAUCGCCGCCUGGACCGUGCGGGUCUGUGAGAGGGAAAACAUGUACCACGACAGACAGGAAGUGACCAGCAACUUCCUGGGGGCCAUGUGGCUCAUCUCCAUCACCUUCCUCUCCAUCGGCUACGGUGACAUGGUGCCCCACACCUACUGUGGGAAGGGCGUGUGCCUGCUCACCGGCAUCAUGGGGGCCGGCUGCACGGCACUCGUGGUGGCCGUGGUGGCCCGGAAGCUGGAGCUCACCAAGGCGGAGAAGCACGUGCACAACUUCAUGAUGGACACUCAGCUCACCAAGCGGGUAAAAAAUGCCGCUGCUAACGUUCUCAGGGAGACGUGGCUUAUCUACAAACACACCAGGCUAGUGAAGAAGCCAGACCACGCCCGAGUUCGGAAACACCAGCAGCUCAGAAGCUCCGGAGUGUGAAGAUUGAACAAGGGAAGCUGAACAACCAGGCCAACACGCUCGCCGACCUGGCCAAGACGCAGAACGCCAUGUGCGACCUCAUGUCCGAGCUGCACGCCCAGCACGAGGAGCUUGAGGCCCGCCUGGCUGCCCUCGAGAGCCGCCUGGACGCUCUGAGCGCCUCCCUGCAGGCCCUGCCGGGCCUCGUCGCCCGAGCCGUACGCCCGCCUCCACCUCCCCUGCCCCCCGGGCCCGGCCCCCCAGGCCAGGCAGCCCAGAGCCCCCCACGCAGGGGGCCGCCCGUGGCCCCCUGGGACUGUGGGUGACAGCCCUGCCCGCCAGCAGACCCCUCAAUCUUGGCCAUCGUGUGGCCGCCGCCUCCGUGCCGUCCAGGGAGCCCUGUGGAGCGGCGCCUCCUGAAGUUCAAGGAGCCGCAGCUGAGUUGGGCUGAGUGGACCCGGGCGCGGCCCACCGGGACUGUCCAGGCGAGGGCAGGGCUGGCCACUGGCCACUUCCUCAGAUGGGGCUGGGGAGCCCGGAGCCUCCUCUGGUCCCCGGGCCCCCCGACUCUCUCCAGGCCCCCAGUGGGCAUGGAGCAGCCGAGAGGGGGGUCCUUGUCAGUGCUGAAUAAAGCAGGACCCACCCA